rnacentral:rRNA from 1 species
CCUACGGGAGGCAGCAGUGGGGAAUUUUCCGCAAUGGGCGAAAGCCUGACGGAGCAAUACCGCGUGAGGGAGGAAAGCCUUUGGGUUGUAAACCUCUUUAAUCAGGGAAGAAAAUUUGACGGUACCUGAAAAAAAAGCAUCGGCUAACUCCGUGCCAGCAGCCGCGGUAAUACGGAGGAUGCAAGCGUUAUCCGGAAUAAUUGGGCGUAAAGGGUCCGCAGGUGGCCAUUCAAGUCUGCUGUCAAAGACCGUGGCUCAACCACGGGAAGGCAGUGGAAACUGUUUAGCUAGUAGAGUACGGUAGGGGUAGAGGGAAUUCCCAGUGUAGCGGUGAAAUGCGUAGAUAUUGGGAAGAACACCGGUGGCGAAAGCGCUCUACUGGGCCGAAACUGACACUGAGGGACGAAAGCUAGGGGAGCGAAAGGGAUUAGAUACCCCUGUAGUCCUAGCUGUAAACGAUGGAUACUAGGUGUAGCUUGUAUCGACCCGAGCUGUACCGAAGCUAACGCGUUAAGUAUCCCGCCUGGGGAGUACGCACGCAAGUGUGAAACUCAAAGGAAUUGACGG